GGAGGGUACAGCUCAGUGGUAGAGUGCAUGCCUAGCAAGCAUGAGGUCCUGGAUUCAAUCCCCAGUCCCUCCA
rnacentral:tRNA from 1 species